GACGAACGCUGGCGGCGUGCCUAAUACAUGCAAGUAGAACAGUUGCGAACGGGUGAGUAACGCGUAGGUAACUGCCUCAGAGAGGGGGAUAACUAUUGGAAACGAUAGCUAAUACCGAAUACUGUGAGAUGGACCUGCGUUGUAUUAGUUAGUUGGUGAGGUAAAGGCGCACCAAGGCGACGAUACACAGCCGACCUGAGAGGGUGGUCGGCCAACCUGAGACUGUGACACGGCCCCGUCUCCUACGGGAGGCACCAGUAGGUAAACUUCGGCCAUGGGCGGAAGUCUGACCGAACCACUCCGCGUGAUUGAAGAAGGUUUUCGGAUCGUAGAGCUCUGUUGUUAGGGAAGCGGUAACUAACCAGACAGGGCCGGCUAACUACGUGCCAGCAGCCGCGGUAAUUC
rnacentral:rRNA from 1 species